rnacentral:rRNA from 1 species
CCUACGGGUGGCAGCAGUAGGGAAUUUUCGGCAAUGGGGGGAACCCUGACCGAGCAACGCCGCGUGAACGAAGAAGUUAUUCGUAAUGUAAAGUUCUUUUAACAGGGACGAAAGAGAAAUUUGACGGUACCUGAAGAAUAAGCUCCGGCAAACUACGUGCCAGCAGCCGCGGUAAUACGUAGGGAGCGAGCGUUAUCCGAAAUUAUUGGGCGUAAGGGGUGCGUAGAUGGCAUAGUAAGUCUUUUGUAAAAAUGCUGGGCUAAACCCAGUAGGGCAAAAGAUACUGCAAAGCUAGAGUAUGACAGAGGCAAGUGGAACUACAGGUGUAGCGGUAAAAUGCGUAGAUAUAAGUAAGAACACCAGUGGCGAAGGCGGCUUGCUGGGUCGAUACUGACAUUGAGGCACGAAAGCGUGGGGAGCAAACAGGAUUAGAUACCCUAGUAGUC